rnacentral:lncRNA from 1 species
AAAAUAAACUGACAACACCAUGGCUAAAAAUGAAAAAGACAAACAGAAAAACAACAGCACACAUGACACAACAUAGAAAACUAAAGAAUAAACAACAUGAACCCUACUAAAAACUAGGGGUGUGACAAUCAGAAUUCUUUUUAAAAAAAAAGAAAGGCGAAAGAUACAACAUUUAAACUCAUAACUCGAAAAAAAGCUGACAAC